GCUUGGAUGGCUCAGUUGGUUAGAGCGCAGGUCUCAUAGCUUUACGUUAUGAUCAAAGUGAUUCUUUGAGUAAUCCUGAGGUCGUGAGUUCGACCCUCACUCCGAGCA